UGACACUUGAUAGCAAGAAGGC
rnacentral:misc_RNA from 1 species